rnacentral:rRNA from 1 species
UACGAAGGGUGCAAGCGUUACUCGGAAUCACUGGGCGUAAAGCGUGCGUAGGCGGUUGGUUAAGUCUGCUGUGAAAGCCCUGGGCUCAACCUGGGAACUGCAGUGGAUACUGGCCAGCUAGAGUGUGAUAGAGGAUGGUGGAAUUCCCGGUGUAGCGGUGAAAUGCGUAGAGAUCGGGAGGAACAUCUGUGGCGAAGGCGGCCAUCUGGACCAGCACUGACACUGAGGCACGAAAGCGUGGGGAGCGAACGGG